GAGAGAAUCGGGAGGAAAAAGGAGGGAAGGGAGACGCGGGGGAUCGGGACCAGGACGUGGGUGACCCGACCCGGUUCGGCGGCACACACAUAUUCCGACGAGAUUUCAACCCCUUUUCCGGCAAAUUGGGUCAAACAACCACUUGGAAACACUCCCAUAACCUUCCCUCUUCAUGUUUCACCCCAAAAAUCUCGAGAAUUAGUGACGGUUUGGUGGAAAACGCACCCGUGGUGCCGCGAGUUUGUGUUAGAAAUCCUCCCGUUUUUGAAGCAAUUUUUCCCAAUUACUACCACCCCUACCUUCCUCUUGAGUCCUAGAACAAAUCCCAAACGAUUUUGGGAGCGGCGGAUCUGUUUUGGAGACGGAUCGAAGACACCCAAAAACAAGGGUUCCGUACGGUUUUAGUGAAAUUGAGGUGUUUCCCGGACAUUGGACUUGGCCACAGGUAUAAAGUUUGCUCUACUCUUUGAGAUCUUCAUUUCUGUAAUUUGUGGUAAUUUUUAAAAAUAGUUGAAUUUAAAGUCGGGCGGCCGACCGCCACCCGCCGCGGCGCGUGCGGCGGCGGCCUGGCCAGCGGGCCGACGAUGUCCUUUUAAGUUCAAUUGGAUGCUCUGAUUUCAUAACUGACAUCCUUAUGAUAUGGUUUGAUUGUUUGGACCUAAUUUCAUUACGAUAUGUGGUUAGGUCAAAAUGUGAUUCGACGAUCCGACCAUUGGAUCGUCACCAAACUUUAAUGCGUCAUAGAAUGUAAUAAUUGAGGAUAGUUGGAACUGACGGAUUGGGAAUCUGGCAUACGGAUCUUCCUAAUUUGGAUUUCUAAGUUUGUAAAAUCAAACGUUGGUCGCCACUUGAAAUUGUAAUUAGCGGGGAUCUGAACGUCAGAUCAUGAUGAAAUUUUGGUAGGUUGUUUUAGAAGCAUAAUGUGGACUUUAGAAGGUUACAGAUCUGAAAUCCAAUGUGCAGAUCUUCCAUAUUGAUUGUGUAGAAUUGCGGAUCCUACCUUUGACGGGGAGUUGACUUUUGGUCAACAUGUCUCCAAACUUCUUAAUACUAAAUUUAGUACUACGAGAGACUUAAGUGAAGUCUAGUGGGCCUACAUUGGUUGGAGAGUGACUUUAAUAUUGGUGAUAUGGUGAUUACUUUAAUUGUUUAUGUUGAAAUCAUUUAUGAAUAUGAAUUAGUCUUAUAAAUAUGAUUUCUAUUGAAAUGUGAUUUUCAUAUAUUUAGCCAUAGACUUAUGUUUAUUAAACAUGAUUGGCUUGUGUACUGAUGAUAAUGGUGAAUAUGUGUGUUUAAUUAUUUCUAGUAAUGCGAAUGAUAAGUAUGGUAGAUUUUAUGGCAAUGUGAUCUUAGAAUUCUAUUAGAAGUAUUUUGUAGAACUCAUAUGCUUGUGAGACCUAUUAGUUGGUGGUCAUGAGAAGUGGAUAUGGUAGGUGACUACGUUGUAAGUAUAGAAGGGAUGAGGGUUAGAUAUACUUGGUACAUUCAGUGGGUACCAUAUUCACAUGGAUUCCGUUGAGUGAGGUUCCGGAAUCGUGUUGUUGUUUGAAUUCCGUUGAGUGAUGUUCCGGAAUUGUAUCGUUGGGUGGAUUCCGUUGAGUGAUGUUCCGGAUCGUUGGUUGGAUUUCGUUGAGUGAUCUUCCGGAAUCGUAUUGUUGGUUGGAUUUCGUUGAGUGAUGUUCCGGAAUCGUAUUCACCUUGGAUUUUAUUGAGUUUAGAUUGACAUAACUCCAGAGAUGUAGGCUUCAGCCGAAUUGUGUUGCUCUAGCUCGGCAUUUCGAUGAAUUGUAUGUGUUAUUGAUGAUAUGGUUAUUGGCAUUAUUGAUUGAUGUGAUAAUUGGAUGGUGUUGGAAUGCAUAUGUGAGGAUGAAUGACGUUAUGACUAGAGAUUAUUAUUCUGCUUAUUUAAAUGUUCCUUGUGGUGCCACAUAAUUGAAUUGUGGUAUUAUGUUGAGAUCUAGUAGUCUAUGUAAUGAAUGUUCGAGAGUAGUGAAAUGGUGAACUACGAAUGGCUUGAUCCCUAUUGAGGGUAUGUAGGCAAUCUAACGAGAAUGUUAGAUGCAGCCAUAAAGCAGACGAAAAAUUACUAUGAAAUUUGGACCUUGAGUGGUCAUAUUUCAUAUCUUGGAGGCGGAGUAUGUUAGAAGUUCGAGUUUUCAGUGACGUCACGUGUCGAUCCUGGGCGUAGGUCGGGAUCGGGGCGUGACAGGCGACAUACGCCAAACCAACAUAUGCAGUUACAAAAAAAUGGAAACUAGACAAGGUUGUAACUCCAAUUAAGAAUGCAUUACAUUAUGUGUCAAUGUUUACUUAUUACAUUAAUUAUUAGGCUGACCGGUUAUGGGAGUUUUGGCCAGUUUUGUAAUUUUGAUCCGAAACUUAGUACAACUUCAAAGAUCCCUAAUGUUUUAUUUAAUAAAUCUUUCCAUGCACAUCAUGUAAUACAACAAGUUUUAGGGACUAAUUAAAUAGAGAAAAUGCGGUAAUCACAAAGGGGAUCAAUCAAAAUGGCUUAAUUGUAUCAACUAGUGAAGUUAUUUAAAGUAUUUAUAAUCAUUUUUCAAAACACUAAUCAUUGAUCGUCUAGUUAAAGAAGAAGAGGAUGUGAAAUCGACAAAACGUGAACACAACACUGUCACAUGAGCUGCUUGUUGGCCAUGAUAAGAGUAGUUAAUCUAUAUGGAUGUGUACAGAUUAUCAAUUAGGUUUAUUCUUUAGAUUUUUACAGAGCAAUGCCUACAUGUACAUUUACGAUAUACAGUUUGACAAUAUAACAUGUCAAAUCCGACAAACAAAUUAUUCUGAUUUUUAAAUUGUAGCAUCCUUGUUAUUCUCGCAUUAAUUUGUACAAGUUGAAAAAUGUGCAUGUUUUUGUUUCCCCACUUUGUACAAUUUGACAAAUUGAAAACAUAAACUUGCAGACCAACUGAUUUCUAAAUUGUAUUUGUUGGGGUCGUACCUAAUGGGGCCGGGCACAGUAGGACCAGUGUGGCAAUUUUACAAUAUCAUACAAAUACAGUGUCAUGUUUGUCACAAAAAAAUAAAAAGGAAAAAUCAUCGUUUUUCUACUCUCAAACUAUUGGCAUCUCUCAGUGUCUCCGUCGUCUUCUGAUUUUCCUCCGAAUCGGAGAAGAAAGGCAACCAAAUCAUGGUCCUCCGAAUUCGUGGUUUUUUUUUAUUCUUCCCGGCGCUCCUUACGCGUACUGCAGCCUGAGCGCGCGGCGCUCUCGAUUGAUUCCGUGGUCUGAUCUUCCGCGAAUCGCAAUCCGACGGUGGCGAUGGCGUCGACGCAGAACCAGUCGGCGAAUGUGGAUCUCUUCGAUGCGUAUUUCCGACGGGCCGAUUUGGACCGCGAUGGCCGGAUUAGUGGCAAUGAAGCCGUCGCUUUCUUCCAGGGCUCUGGUUUCCCAAACAGGUCCUUGCGCAGUUGUAUUUAGAUUUGAAGUUGUUCAGGCAGAACCAACUCUGAGCCCUUUUCAGCAAUCGAGCAUCGACUGGAAGACUUGCUGAGUGUUACAGUACCUGUAUCAGUAUCAAUAUCCGAACCAUCUAUACAGAGUGAAAUUUCAAUUUCACACAGGUCACUUGCAUUAGAUGUCCUUUCAGCUGAAGCACCACUUGAAGAUAUCCCAUUUGCAGUAGGGGAAAGCACUUCAGGUUGUUGAAUGCUACUAAUGUUUCCCUGUUUGAGUUGCUUAGUCUUCCCGAUAACCUUUCUCCUCGUCUGUCCAGAUGUAAUCCACGAAGAUAACCCCACAGCUCCAAGUAGCGGCAGCACAAUACGAUAAUCUUGUGUCAAUUCAAAAAGCAACAGACUCCUGCAAGACUAGCACCCAUUCCAACCUGAAAAUGGAAUCUCACCGAUUGUCAACUCCAUCCAGAUUUUGGGAUACCUUCAGAAUUUAGCAGACAAAUACCAGAAACCAUAUUCAGUAAAGGCAAAUCACAUUACCAGGAGCACGUAAAUACUCCGAGAUCACAUACUGAUGCCAUAGUCAAUUGCAGAAAUUAUUUA